rnacentral:rRNA from 1 species
GUACACUCCUACGGGAGGCAGCAGUGGGGAAUUUUGGACAAUGGGCGAAAGCCUGAUCCAGCAAUGCCGCGUGCAGGAUGAAGGCCUUCGGGUUGUAAACUGCUUUUGUACGGAACGAAAAAGCUCCUUCUAAUACAGGGGGCCCAUGACGGUACCGUAAGAAUAAGCACCGGCUAACUACGUGCCAGCAGCCGCGGUAAUACGUAGGGUGCGAGCGUUAAUCGGAAUUACUGGGCGUAAAGCGUGCGCAGGCGGUUAUGUAAGACAGAUGUGAAAUCCCCGGGCUCAACCUGGGAACUGCAUUUGUGACUGCAUGGCUAGAGUACGGUAGAGGGGGAUGGAAUUCCGCGUGUAGCAGUGAAAUGCGUAGAUAUGCGGAGGAACACCGAUGGCGAAGGCAAUCCCCUGGACCUGUACUGACGCUCAUGCACGAAAGCGUGGGGAGCAAACAGGAUUAGAAACCCUGGUAGUCC